ACAAAGAGAUAUUAACAGCAUUGAUGGCCCUAAAGUUGAAUUUUUUAUUGUGAAUCGAAGCUUGGCAUCAGAAGAGGCUAAUAAAGUUGAAGUAAUUAAGAAACAAGAAAAGGAGGUUGAAUAAGAAGAAAUCUCUAUGGAAUAUGAAGGCAAGAGUUUUGGAUUGAUUCAAGAUUUCAAAUUGGUGGCCAAGGAUCAAGAAUCAUAGACCUUAGAGAUUUAUCAUGUUGAAUAUCUUGAGAAGGCAGGUGUCCAAAUUGGUCAUAUUUCUACUACACAUUGCCCUCAUAUUCUUCAACUUCAUCAAGUUCAAGUUACACAUCAUCCUGAAGUUGUCGUAGUUCUGAUAGAGCAUAUUGUUCUUCUAUCUAAUGAUAACUUCUAAAACUACCUUGUUCACUGGAGAGGUUUUCCAAAUCAACACAAUCAGACCGCUCACUCUCUGCAGUGUCUUAUUUUUCACUACCUUGUCUGUGGUGGGAAAGGAGUCCCAGAUUAGAUGCUACAUAGAGGAAUUCCACGCAUUGUGUUCCAUUGGAAUUAUAUCAUCAACUUUACUCUCCAGAGGAGAGUUCCUUCAAGCAAGGGAGAAAUGAUAGAAUAUAAGGAUACCUAUAUUAGGAGAAAAUUUUAAAUUUAUUAUUUCCAUGCUAGUUGGCUUUCCUUAAUGGUCAAGUACUAGCAAGUUGUCAUCCUUCUAGUAAAGGAAAUCAAAUCUUCUAUUCAUUAGAAAGUUGUCAUCAAGUUUCUUUCUAGUAGAGGAAGUCAAGUUUGAUUUUGCUUUUAUAUUUUAUUAGAAUGUUGUCAUCAAGGUUCCUUGUGCUAGAGGAAGCCAAGUUUGAUUUUGUCUCUAGUAGCAAGAUGUCAUCAAGAUUACUUCAUAUGGAAGAAAAUCUUGAUAUAUAAAUAGGAGUAUGAAGCACAUGUAUCGGAAGACUUUGAUGAACGAUAUUGUUAUGGCUUAAUUGCUAUCUCUCUCUCCACCUCUUUUGAUCUGCUUGAACUCUCCCCCUCCAUUUUUGUUCUCCCUCCCUUCAAUUCUAUUCGCCCUCCCUCUGUUUCUCCUUCUCUUCUUUGUUUCUGCAUCUCUCCUCCAAAAUCUCUCUGUUUCUAUUUCCUCUCCCCUAAAAUUUCCUCUGUUCUGCAUCAGAUAUAAGUGUGUGAGUGUGUUACACCAUGAACCAGCAUGUCUACGGCGAAGGAAGGCUUAUAGAAGUCAUUUAUUUUUUAAUGCCUCUUACUCUUUCAGAUUUAGGUAAAUAAAAAUUCAAAUUGCAGUCUUAUGGAAGAGAACACAAAUCACAGACAGGUUAAGGACAGAUAUCUGACACUUGCAAGUUUCAUGCUCAAAAUGCCAAAUAAUACAAGGCUACCAAAGCUUUCGCCAAUUAAUAUCUCUUCCAUAGCUUGAGGGAAGGGUUUAGAAUCCAGAUAUGCCCAUAUGAAAAGAUUUGCCGAUGGAAAUCUGGAUUUUAUUAUGUCCAGAUUAUUAUCAUGCAUUUUUGUUUCUUUCCUUUCAAUAGUAAAAAAUUUUCUUAGAUUGUAUCGAGGGGGGAAAAAAAUGUUUACAAGAGUUGUAUCCCAAGAGCUUUUCAAGGACAAAGUAGAUAUCA